rnacentral:siRNA from 1 species
GGCUACGUAAGCUUAAACCGC